GAGCUCAUUGCUGCCUUCAGCUCCCUGAAGGGAGGCUGUAGCCAGGUGGAGUUGCUCUCUUCUGCCAGCCUGGUGAAUUUAGAUCAACUUCAGUAGCCUCGAGAGAGUCCAUUGGCUUCAAAGCCCACAGAGAGCUGCUAGACAAAGGACCUAAGAAGCUGCCAGCCUUAAAAGCUGUGUCCCAGGGUGCCCUCCUUUCCUUUCUCAGCAGCCUUGCUUGCUGAAGGAAGCAAAGAUACCUGAGGAAGGAGGAUUUGCUCUAGCAUGACCUAGAGCUCAGCUCAUGCUUUCAGACACCUUCAGCCUGCGGAGAUGAUGGCCUGGAGAGAAACAUUAAUGCCUGACCCUCUGGCCCCAUGUUUUAUGCACACUGAGAAGAACAGGCCAUCAAACAUGCCAGAGGAUUAGCUAAUGAACCAUUCAGCUCUAAUGCUUAUCUAAAUUGAGAGCUGUGUGAAAGAAAUUACACUUUGCU